GACGAACGCUGGCGGCGUGCUUAACACAUGCAAGUCGAACGGAAAGGCCCUGCUUUUGUGGGGUGCUCGAGUGGCGAACGGGUGAGUAACACGUGAGUAACCUGCCCUUGACUUUGGGAUAACUUCAGGAAACUGGGGCUAAUACCGGAUAGGAGCUCCUGCUGCAUGGUGGGGGUUGGAAAGUUUCGGCGGUUGGGGAUGGACUCGCGGCUUAUCAGCUUGUUGGUGGGGUAGUGGCUUACCAAGGCUUUGACGGGUAGCCGGCCUGAGGGGGUGACCGGCCACAUUGGGACCGAGAUACGGCCCAGACUCCUACGGGAGGCAGCAGUGGGGAAUAUUGCACAAUGGGCGGAAGCCUGAUGCAGCAACGCCGCGUGCGGGAUGACAGCCUUCGGGUUGUAAACCGCUUUCGCCUGUGACGAAGCGUGAGUGACGGUAAUGGGUAAAGAAGCACCGGCUAACUACGUG
rnacentral:rRNA from 1 species